rnacentral:rRNA from 1 species
AUUGAACGCUGGCGGCAGGCCUAACCCAUGCAAGUCGAACGAUUGGCGGACGGGUGAGUAAUGUAUGGGAAACUGCCCGAUGGAGGGGGAUAACUACUGGAAACGGUAGCUAAUACCGCAUACCAUCGGAUGUGCCCAGAUGGGAUUAGCUCGUAGGUGGGGUAACGGCUCACCUAGGCGACGAUCCCUAGCGGGUCUGAGAGGAUGACCAGCCACACUGGGACUGAGACACGGUCCAGACUCCUACGGGAGGCAGCAGUGGGGAAUAUUGCGCAAUGGGCGCAAGCCUGAUGCAGCCAUGACGCGUGAAUGAAGAAGGCCUUCGGGUUGUAAAGUUCUUUCGGUAGCGAGGCGUUACCUACAGAAGAAGCACCGGCUAACUCCGUGCCAGCCGCCGCGGUAAUAC